rnacentral:rRNA from 1 species
GUCGAACGCAGGCGUGUUUGUACGCAAGUACAAGCGCUCACCUGAGUGGCGGACGGGUGCGUAACACGUGAGCAACCUGCCCGGGCGCGGGGGACAACCUUCGGAAACGGGGGCUAACCCCGCAUGGGCUUUGGGGCCGCAUGGUCCUGGAGUGAAACGAGCCUUCGGGCUCGGCGCCUGGAGGGGCUCGCGGCGUAUCAGCUGGUUGGUGGGGUAGAGGCUCACCAAGGCGAUGACGCGUCGGGGGUCUGAGAGGAUGGCCCCCCACAUGGGGACUGAGAUACGGCCCCAACUCCUACGGGAGGCAGCAGUGGGGAAUCUUGCGCAAUGGCCGAAAGGCUGACGCAGCGACGCCGCGUGCGGGAGGACGCUCUUCGGGGUGUAAACCGCUGUCACCCGGGACGAAUCCCGGUCGGAGGCAAUGCCGGCCGGUUGACGGUACCGGGAGAGGAAGCACCGGCUAACUCCGUGCCAGCAGCCGCGGUAAUACGGAGGGUGCGAGCGUUGUCCGGAAUGAUUGGGCGUAAAGGGCGCGUAGGCGGCUCUUUGCAAGUCCGCUGUGAAAGGCCGGGGCUCAACCCCGUGCAGGGCAGAGGAGACUGCGGAGCUAGGGACACGUAGAGGCUGGCGGAACUGGGGGUGUAGCGGUGGAAUGCGUAGAGAUCCCCAAGAACACCGGAGGCGAAGGCGGCCAGCUGGGCGUGCAAACGGGCAGGGCUUCGGUCCUGUCUAUCCGACGCUGAGGCGCGAAAGCGUGGGGAGCGAACCGGAUUAGAUACCCGGGUAGUCCACGCCGUAAACGAUGGGCACUCGCCGUCUGGGGGAUCGACCCUCUGGGUGGCUGAGCUAACGCGAGAAGUGCCCGCCUGGGGAGUACGGCCGCAAGGCUGAAACUCAAAGGAAUUGACGGGGGCCCGCACAAGCGGUGGAGCAUGUGUUUAAUUCGAAGCAACGCGAAGAACUUUACCCGACUGACA